GACGAACGCUGGCGGCGUGCCUAAUACAUGCAAGUGGGACGCAAGGAAACACACUGUGCUUGCACACCGUGUUUUCUUGAGUCGCGAACGGGUGAGUAACGCGUAGGUAACCUGCCUAUUAGCGGGGGAUAACUAUUGGAAACGAUAGCUAAUACCGCAUAAUAUUAAUUAUUGCAUGAUAAUUGAUUGAAAGAUGCAAGCGCAUCACUAGUAGAUGGACCUGCGUUGUAUUAGCUAGUUGGUAAGGUAAGAGCUUACCAAGGCGACGAUACAUAGCCGACCUGAGAGGGUGAUCGGCCACACUGGGACGGAGACACGGCCCAGACUCCUACGGGAGGCAGCAGGAGGGAAUCUUCGGCAAUGGACGAAAGUCUGACCGAGCAACGCCGCGUGAGUGAAGAAGGUUGUCGGAUCGUAAAGCUCUGUUGUAAGUCAAGAACGUGUGUGAGAGUGGAAAGUUCACACAGUGACGGUAGCUUACCAGAAAGGGACGGCUAACUACGUG
rnacentral:rRNA from 1 species